ACUCCUACGGGAGGCAGCAGUGGGGAAUAUUGCACAAUGGGCGCAAGCCUGAUGCAGCCAUGCCGCGUGUAUGAAGAAGGCCUUCGGGUUGUAAGUACUUUCAGCAGUGAGGAAGGCGGAGUCGUUAACUAGCGGCCUCGUUUGACGUUAGCUGCAGAAGAAGCACCGGCUAACUCCGUGCCAGCAGCCGCGGUAAUACGGAGGGUGCGAGCGUUAAUCGGAAUUACUGGGCGUAAAGCGCAUGCAGGUGGUUCGUUAAGUCAGAUGUGAAAGCCCGGGGCUCAACCUCGGAAUUGCAUUUGAAACUGGCAGACUAGAGUACUGUAGAGGGGGGUAGAAUUUCAGGUGUAGCGGUGAAAUGCGUAGAGAUCUGAAGGAAUACCAGUGGCGAAGGCGGCCCCCUGGACAAAGACUGACGCUCAGAUGCGAAAGCGUGGGGAGCAAACAGGGAUUAGAUACCCUGGUAGCACGAGAG
rnacentral:rRNA from 1 species